GGCCAGACUCCUACGGGAGGCAGCAGUGGGGAAUAUUGCACAAUGGGGGAAACCCUGAUGCAGCGACGCCGCGUGAGUGAAGAAGUAUUUCGGUAUGUAAAGCUCUAUCAGCAGGAAAGAAAAUGACGGUACCUGACUAAGAAGCCCCGGCUAACUACGUGCCAGCAGCCGCGGUAAUACGUAGGGGGCAAGCGUCAUCCGGAUUUACUGGGUGUAAAGGGAGCGUAGACGGUGAAGCAAGUCUGAAGUGAAAGGCGGGGGCUCAACCCCCGGACUGCUUUGGAAACUGUUUGACUGGAGUGCAGGAGAGGUAAGUGGAAUUCCUAGUGUAGCGGUGAAAUGCGUAGAUAUUAGGAGGAACACCAGUGGCGAAGGCGGCUUACUGGACUGUAACUGACGUUGAGGCUCGAAAGCGUGGGGAGCAAACAGGAUUAGAUACCCCCGUA
rnacentral:rRNA from 1 species